GUGAACGCUGGCGGUAGGCCUAACACAUGCAAGUCGAACGGCAGCACAGUAAGAGCUUGCUCUUACGGGUGGCGAGUGGCGGACGGGUGAGGAAUACAUCGGAAUCUACUUUUUCGUGGGGGAUAACGUAGGGAAACUUACGCUAAUACCGCAUACGACCUACGGGUGAAAGCAGGGGAUCUUCGGACCUUGCGCGAUUGAAUGAGCCGAUGUCGGAUUAGCUAGUUGGCGGGGUAAAGGCCCACCAAGGCGACGAUCCGUAGCUGGUCUGAGAGGAUGAUCAGCCACACUGGAACUGAGACACGGUCCAGACUCCUACGGGAGGCAGCAGUGGGGAAUAUUGGACAAUGGGCGCAAGCCUGAUCCAGCCAUACCGCGUGGGUGAAGAAGGCCUUCGGGUUGUAAAGCCCUUUUGUUGGGAAAGAAAAGCAGCAGGUUAAUACCCCGCUGUUCUGACGGUACCCAAAGAAUAAGCACCGGCCAACUUCGUG
rnacentral:rRNA from 1 species